rnacentral:rRNA from 1 species
GAUGAACGCUAGCGGGAGGCCUAACACAUGCAAGCCGAGCGGUAUUGUUUCUUCGGAAAUGAGAGAGCGGCGUACGGGUGCGUAACACGUGUGCAACCUGCCUUUAUCUGGGGGAUAGCCUUUCGAAAGGAAGAUUAAUACUCCAUAAUAUAUUGAACGGCAUCGUUUAAUAUUGAAAGCUCCGGCGGAUAGAGAUGGGCACGCGCAAGACUAGCUAGUUGGUGAGGUAACGGCUCACCAAGGCGAUGAUCUUUAGGGGGCCUGAGAGGGUGAUCCCCCACACUGGUACUGAGACACGGACCAGACUCCUACGGGAGGCAGCAGUGAGGAAUAUUGGUCAAUGGGUGCAAGCCUGAACCAGCCAUCCCGCGUGAAGGACGACUGCCCUAUGGGUUGUAAACUUCUUUUGUAUAGGGAUAAACCUACCCUCGUGAGGGUAGCUGAAGGUACUAUACGAAUAAGCACCGGCUAACUCCGUG